GAUUGCCUUAUAUUAAGGAGUGGGCGAAUUCUAUGGGGAAACCCAUUAGAAAUCGUCCAAGGCCUUUAAGGAAAGGAGUCCAUGGGUUGCUUAGGGCUUAAGCAUCCAAAUUAGGGUUUCCUUGUUAGAUAACCCUAAUAGCCUCACUAUAUAUAGAACCCUUAUGCUCCAAAAACGUGGUGAACUAAUUGUCUAGGGUUUCCACACGUUUUUGAGAGCCUCCUUCUCUUCUCCUCUUCAUCCUCUUGCUCUUGGUGUUUGUGAACCAUUAGAGGAGUGACAUUUGUGACUCUAAGCUUUCUAAAGUCAUUACAAGGAGGAUUUGAGAUUGUUAUUGCUACAUAACAAUCAAGGUAUGAUCUAAACCCUANUUGAUUUCCAUAUGCUAGAAUUAGGGUUUAUAGUCUUGGAUUCAAAGCAUGUACAAUAGAGAAACCUAGAUCCAAGCAUUAGGGUUUGUAUGAGCACAUAGGAUGUCUUAUGAAAAAAACCCAUCAGUGGUAUCAAAGACUUGAUUGGUUUCUAUUGUAUUGAUGCCUUAUGUGUUUAUUCAAGAAACAAAAUCGAUUUUUGGCUCAUCUGCCUGAUGAACUCGGCGAGUAGGCCCCUACUCGGCGAGUCCAUAUGGGUACUCGGCGAGUUCGAGCGUCAGAAAGAGGGGAUUUCGGGAUUUCUUGUUGUUUUACUCAUGGAUAAUUGCCUUAUCUGUUUUAGGUCAUUAAAAUCCGAUUUUAAUCAUAUUUAUGAGUAUAUCCUUGAUUAAACAAAAGAUAAUUACCAAUUGAUUAGAUAAUAACUUCCUUAUAUGAUAAAGAUUGGAUUAUUUGUAUUAAUUGGGUAACUUAUUUUGCAAGAAAUUGAAAUUAGGUCAAAUAUAGAUAAUGAUGAAAUUAAUUGUUUAAUUUAUAUUAUUUGUUAUUUGAUCCUUGUGUUAUGAAAAGUUUCAAUUUUCCCCUUUAGGUUUUAUAGUUUAAAUUUGAACUCAAAAGUUUAGUUUUGAAAUUUAAAUAGUUGAAACCCUAAUGUUUUGAAAAAGGUUUCAAAACUUGCCCUCAAGUUUUGGAAUUUAAAUUUUGAUUAAAAGUUUAAUUUUGAUGUAUAUUUAAAUUCUAAACCUAAAUGUUUUGAAAUGUUUCAAAACUUGCCCUCAAGUUUUGGAAUUUAAAAGUUGAUUAAAAGUUUAAUUUAGGAAUGUUAAAUUCUAAAACCCUAGUAUUGUUUUGAAAAGUUCAAAUCACACCCUUAUGGUUUUAUUAAUUAAUUAAGGUGUAUAAUUAAAAGAGGUUUAAUAAAUCCAUAAAAGUUUUGGUUUACAAUUUAAUUGAAUUAAAAGUAUAAUUGUUAAAUUUGACCACCUAGUAUUUUAAAAGUGUAAAAUACACCCUAUACUAUAUAUAACAUUAAAAGUCUAACAUUAUAUAUAUGUAUGAGUAAAAGUCAGUCUUACCGUUAGUAGGCCUCAUUCACGAAGCUGGUCUAUAAGGGGUGUUUAAGGAAAUUGCCUAUAAAAUGGCGAUUGAAUGGGUAUCCACUCUUACCCACCGCACUCUUGACUAGUGGAGGGUCGUUAGCCGAACGGGUAGGAUAGGACGAAACCUUCCAUUAUAAGUAUAAUGAAUUACAAAAGUAACUAAAUGUUUUACAAAUUCCCAAUCUUAGUUACUUAGGCAAAAGUGAAUUGAUGCAAUUCCAUGAAAUUACACUUUGUGCCCUUGCGAAGACGUUAGUGGAGCGUGUGUGGUUUACCGGCACACUAAAUGGUUCUAAGCAAAGGUAGCAAAGGGUGACUCAAUGUUUGUCAUAGUUCGGUGGAGCGUGUGUGGUUUACCGGCACAUCGAAUAGGUGACUGUAACAUGUGAGGGCACCAUGUAAGUUUGCAUGGUUAUUCACACCCGCUUUGUGAUCCUCGGCAUCCCAGUCACAAACAAGAGGGGCAUAUCGAGAUUUAAACAUGCCAUUGAAAGUUCAAUGAAUCUCAAAGGAUCUAGGAGUUUUCAUAGAUUUAAAACUUAAAUUUCUUUUUCGUUUUUCAUGGUGGAAAUUAGUGAAUCGUCAUUCACUUACCUUCAAAUAUUCUGCAAUUAGGGUUACGGCAUCCCUCUCCCGAGUUGUAGAAUAUUGUGUUGGGUCCUAGCCUUAGUAUCUCAUUUGGGUGAUUUACUAAGGACUCAAUCAAUCAACUAACUUGAAUUCGUUUUCUCCCGUUUUGUAGAUGUCAAAGUUCGACAACUAUGGUCUUCCCAAAUCCCGUGGAACAAGCAUUCCACAUGAAGAUGAUAUUCCACGAUUCGAUCGAGGAACAAGAAAUCAUGCUUCACUUCCUCCUCCUCCUCCAAUUAUUCUCCCUAACCCACAAGUUCAAAGGCUUGAAAAGUUCAAGAUCACUCAAGCCCUUUUGGCAAGUAAACAUAAAGAAGGAAAGUCGGUGUGUGCACACGUCCUAGGGAUGAAGUCACACAUUGAUAGGUUAAGAAUGUUGGGAUCCGUUGUCUGUGAGGAAAUGGCUGUUGAUUGGGUUCUUCAGUCACUUCCUAACUCAUAUAGUGAGUUCGUAAGAGAGUACUAUAUGAUGAACCGCGACGUGACCCUUAUAGAUCUCACCUAUAUGCUUAUUGCUGCUGAAUCAGCAAUGGUUUGGCGCAAUAGAAAAGCAAAGUUGAUUGGUGAAUCUGCCUUCAAGACCUCUAUGGAUAUAGACAAUGGCAACGAAAGACAUGCUAUGAUCGAAAAGUUUGAUCAUAAGAGAAAGGCAAUGUCUGAAGUAGUUCCAUGUCAUGUUCCAAAAGAGUCAAUUUGCUUUUAUUGCCAAGAGAAAGGGCAUUGGAGACGAAGCUGCCCCAUUUACCUAAGAGAUCUAAGAGAUGGGAGAGUCGAAACGUAUGGCUCUAAUAUAGGUAAAAUCCAUUAACUAACUCUUUUAAGCUUCUAUUCUAGAUUCUUAAUACAUAAUGUGAUAAGAUUACAAUUGAUGUUUUGUAGGAUCGAAGAAAAGAAAGGAAGCUUAAGGGAAGAAGUGAGCAGAAUCUAACCGUGAAGGAAUGGAUUUCGAUCGCAUUUCUCGAAGAUUAGAUUCUUGAGCUACUACUUAGAGUUAGAAUUAGAUUGCUAAGAAAGAUGUAUUAGCAUAGUUUUUCAAUGAAUUGCAUUGUAAGGACAAAUUUUUUCCGCAAUAAAAUAAAUUUUGAUUUUAUAUUAUUUAUUUAUCCUUGCAAUGGCGUAUAUGAAAAAUUGAUGUUUGAAUGUUUCUAUUAUUAGCAAUAAUGGAUUUGGUUCUUAUUAUGUUAUUUAUGGAAAGUCGAGAGUUUACCAAAUAGGGAGAGUUUCUCAUCGCCCAAGUUUCAAUUGGACAGAAACUUGGAAUCAUGCAACUUGGUUGCACGAUGAAUGAGAAAUUUCAUAUUUGGAAAUUAGACUAAUUCAUUGACAAAGUGUCAAGUGAAGGACUAGGAGAUCGAGUACACAAAGUUGCGUGUUGAUCAAGUCCACCAUAAGAGUAACAAAGAUAUUCGUCAUGAUUUACUAAAGGUUUAGUAAAUAUGAUUAUACUUACAAGAUUAAGUGUAAUUAUGAAUUGAUUGAAAAAGUUUAAAUCAAUAGCAGAACGAAUAAGAAGAAUCAAGUAGGCAGAAAGAUAAAAGUUUCUCCAUUCUAAGAAGAAGGGAGAGUAGCUUUUAUGCUUUAUGAUAGGUCUUAAUGAUUAAGAACCAUAUCUCAAUUGAUCCUCUAAGUGAGUCUUAGUACAAUUGUAUGUCUAAGAAGAGGAAUCAAGAAUUGAAGAAAUGGUUAAAUCAAGAAGUCAAUCAUACUUCGUUCCAAAACAAGUCUUAGAGUUAAGAUUGUGACAUUGAGUGAAAAGUAUUAAGAAGGUUUAUAACAUUCAUCAAAUGUGGAAAGUUGUGAUGUCUUGGAUAAGACAAAGACCAACUAGGACCAAUUUAUGAAGUGUUUUGAUAAAAACUACACUAACUCUUGAAUAUUUGUUUGUCAAGAAAUGUUUAUUGACAAGAGAAUCUUAUAUGUCAAGGAGUCAGUGGGAGUCUUAAUGGUCUUGAAAGGUUUCAAGAACAAAUCAAAAUAGACCUUAUCGAUCAUCACUAGCACACGAGUUGAGGUUUACAACCUAUCGUGUUGACACUAUUUUGUUUCUGUGUCAUUCUAAUUGAGUCAAUUAUGCAUUUGAGUUCUAUGAGUUCUCAUUUGAACACAUAAAAGGCAGGCACCUUGAUUAAUGAAAAGUACAUUGAUAGGAAAAGGUGAGGUGCUUAACUACUUGGAAGACUUGGUGGGCAGUUGUGCUACCAUAAGGCAAGAAAUCAAGAUUAAGAAAGUUCGAUCCAUAUGAGUUUGAAUUUGUCGUAAACUUUGGUUUUGACAAAUUCACAUGGAUAGGAACUCAUACACCAUUAAAAUCUAAGUGUCCUAAGAUUCCCUCCUUCAUGAAAAUGACUGUGAGGAAAUACUUUCACUAAGAGAGAUUUUAAAAAGAUGGUGAUUGUGAAAUUGAAUUGUCGAAUUCGAUUAUGGUUACGGUAUCCCUUUCCAUGAUUCGAAUUAUGAGAUUUGGUAAUUAGUCUGAAUUGUUUAGACAUACAUAUGAGCUAUCUAAGGGAAAGGUGUAUAAGCUUAGAUAAAGGAUUAUCAAAGCAUUAGGUAUUAGAAACAUGAACUUAAGAAAUUCAAUAAGUAUUGUUUUUCUGAAAGUUAAGCUGUUUCUGAAUACAUGUCAAAGCUAGUGGGAGCAUAAGUGUUAUGUUUAUAAUAAUCAUCAUGAUAGUGGGAGCAUAAAUGUUAUGAUUGUAUGAUUAUUAUGGAAAGUAUUGCAAGUUAGCAAUAUUAAUUAUAGAAAACAAGAGUUAUACUUUGCAAAGUCGCAAUAGUUGAAAAGUUGUUUUGCUAUAAUUAAGGGAGAGAAUAUUAUGCUUCAUUUCAAAUCUAAAGGCUUAGGUUGUGGAAUGUUAAUAAUUUAGUCAAGGAAACAUAGUGUGUUCUCAAAUUUCGAUUAUGAUUACGACAUUCCUCUUCAUAGUUCGAAUUUUGAGAACGUAGCACAUAAAAUAUUAUGGCAGAAGAUUGAUAAAGUAUCAAAUCUUUAUGUAAGACAUUAUGCAUCGUGUCCCAUACGCUUCGGGUAUAGGAUCGAUUGCAAAUGCUAUAAUAUUUGACCAUUCUAAAAUUUUCCAAAUGUCUAGCGCAUUUAGAGGGAAAAAGGACGAGAAUCGGUUUUGACUAAGAUAAUUAAACAACUAUCAAAGGACAAUCCAAAGUUCGCCGAGGAUUGGUCGCUUGUGAGUAGUUGGAAGUAUAGUAUUGGAUGGACCAUAUCGACAUUAUUAUGAAUAGAUAAGAUUCUAUUAAGAAUGAGUUGUCAUAUGGAAAAUAUGGAAACGUGUCCAUAUUGGGAAUUGAAUAUUGAAAAUCUAUGUCUAGAUUAGAAACUUUUAUGCAAAAGGAUGUUCAAAGGAAUGUACUUUGAGUGAGAGACAUCAUAUCUAAGGAAUUGUAUUGUAACAAUCUCCGAUAGAGGACUUUGUAAUAUCAUUGGCAAUAGUCAUUGUGACUUUUGUGCUAUGACAUUACGAAAGGAUCAUUGCAUAAAAUGUUAGAAUCUAGCAUAUUCCAUAAGUGGCAAGAAUUUGAUAUUCUUUCACUUGUGAAAAGGAUUGGGAGUUGUGAAAUGAGUAUGAUUGGAAAUGUGUUCAUUUGACCUAUUUCACAAAGUAAGAACCAUAGUUAAACAUUGUGUGCAUGCUAAGAGCAUGAGACAAGUGUUGGAAUAAUUCAAGUAAAAAGUUGAUUACCCGAAACAACAAAUAAUGAGUAAUCGAUAUGGUGAUAAAUAAAAGGUGUUUUAUUUAUGCUCAAAGGUUUGAGGCCAUAUGGGAUUAGUAUUAUUCUUGUGUUUCACUUUGCAUGUUUUGACUUCCUGAAUAAUUUAAUUGGUUUAGAACAGUCAAAUUAUUCGAACGGGCCACAGUCGUUCAUAUGUUGGAAGUAGGUAUGAAUAAAGACUGUCGUGAAUUGGUGUGUGAAUUGUCUAAAGAGUAUUAGACAUAAGCAAAUGUUUGUUGCAACGUUCAUGAGUGCUUAUGAAUAUGAUUUGAGCAUUGGAUUAAACCCACGCUCACUUGGAUCACUCCAUGAAUUGUAUCACGAGUGAUUGGUGAGACGAUAACAUCUUAUAUUCUUGAAACCGAGAUGUGUGAGUUGUAUCUUGCAAAUCGGUUGCACAUUGAUAAUAUGUAAACGCACCAGUAACUUGGUGUCAUAAAACAUAUUGUUGUGUGUGAUUCGGUGAGUGAGUGCAAGCGAGCAUUGAAUCAAAGUUUAUCCGUUCCUUUUAUCCGAAGUAGGAUAAAAGCGAUAUCUUUGGGCCCCUCGAUGAUUUAGUGAUGACAAACAUAAAUGCUCGGCCAGGCUAGGGCUAAUUUGAUUUGUUCAAUUAGUCAUUCAUUAUAAAUCGGAAGUCGAGAAAUAGUACAAAGAGAAUAAUUAGAAAUCAUUUCCUAUACGAUAUCUAGAAUGGAGGAAUAUAUGAUCCCUUAACUAAAGGACACGCGUAUCUGAUAGGAUCAAAGUUGACAUCGGAUUUGGAAAGCUAUGAUUGCAGAUCAGGAUCUGAAGUCAUACGCAUAAUAGUUAUUAGACUUAUCCAAGUGGGAGACUGUUGGAUUAGUGUCUAAGUCCAUAACUAUUUUGGUAUGUACUUGACCCGAUGGUGCAUGGUCCUUUUGGGUUGCCUUCACCAAAGCAACUUAAUAGGAUGAAUUAUGGAGAGAAAGGAUUAAAUAUGAUUUAUUAAUAUAUUAUGAGAAUAAUAUAUUAAAGGAGAAAUCAUAUUGUUUAAUUAAUAUUAGUCAAGAAUUAAUAAGAAUUAAGUUUGUGACUAAAAGAGAUUAAUUAAACUUAAGGGACUUGAAUUGUAAUUAUAAGAUGAUUGCAAUUUGGGCUAUGGAUUGCCUUAUAUUAAGGAGUGGACGAAUUCUAUGGGGAAACCCACUAGAAAUCGUCCAAGGCCUUUAAGGAAAGGAGUCCAUGGGUUGCUUAGGGCUUAAGCAUCCAAAUUAGGGUUUCCUUGUUAGAUAACCCUAAUAGCCUCACUAUAUAUAGAACCCUUAUGCUCCAAAAACGUGGUGAACUAAUUGUCUAGGGUUUCCACACGUUUUUGAGAGCCUCCUUCUCUUCUCCUCUUCAUCCUCUUGCUCUUGGUGUUUGUGAACCAUUAGAGGAGUGACAUUUGUGACUCUAAACUUUCUAAAGUCAUUACAAGGAGGAUUUGAGAUUGUUAUUGCUACAUAACAAUCAAGGUAUGAUCUAAACCCUAAUUAUAUGUUAUAUUGAUUAUCAUAUCCUAGAUCUAGGGUUUAUAGUCUUGGAUGAAUUGCAUGUACAAUAGAGAAACCUAGAUCCAAGCAUUAGGGUUUGUAUGGGCACAUAGGAUGUUCUUAUAGCCAAAACCCAUCA
rnacentral:lncRNA from 1 species